AUGUCAGCGUGGUUUUUUUGCUACAAGCGGCACGGCUGGAUGCUGCAAACGGCGCCGAAAAAUGUUGCGUUGGUAUUGCAUGAAACAAUAAUAAAUGCUACAACCAUUCUAACUGGAAUGCUGCAACCAUCAACGAAAGAUGUUACAAUUGAUGAGAUGACGUGCUACAAACCGAUGAGACAGGACAUGCUACAACCAGCAAGACGGAUGUUGCAAUCGGUACGAAAAAAUGUUGCAAACGAUGACAUUAAAUGCUGCAUGGUCGACAGAGACAUGGUUAAAUCUCAGUGUACUGAUUUUUAA
rnacentral:rRNA from 1 species